CGUAUUGAUCUGUUGGCUGGCUUUAGAACCAUUCAUCUAUUGGCUGGCUUUAGGACCAUUCAUCUAUUGGCUGGCUUUAGAACCAUUCAUCUAUUGGCUGGCUUUAGAACCAUUCAUCUAUUGGCUGGCUUUAGAACCAUUCAUCUGUUGGCUGGCUUUAGAACCAUUAAUCUAUUGGCUGGCUUUAGAACCAUUCAUCUAUUGGCUGGCUUUAUAACCAUUCAUCUAUUGGCUGGCUUUAGAACCAUUCAUCUGUUGGCUGGCUUUAGAACCAUUCAUCUGUUGGCUGGCUUUAGAACCAUUCACCUGUUGGCUGGCUUUAGGACCAUUCAUCUGUUGGCUGGCUUUAGGACCAUUCAUCUAUUGGCUGGCUUUAGGACCAUUCAUCUGUUGGCUGGCUUUAGGACCAUUCAUCUGUUGGCUGGCUUUAAAACCAUUCAUCUGUUGGCUGGCUUUAGAACCAUCCAUCUAUUGGCUGGCUUUAGGACCAUUCAUCUAUUGUCUGGCUUUAGAACCAUUCAUCUAUUGGCUGGCUUUAGGACCAUUCAUCUAUUGGCUGGCUUUAGGACCAUUCAUCUAUUGGCUGGCUUUAGAACCAUUCAUCUAUUGGCUGGCUUUAGAACCAUUCAUCUAUUGGCUGGCUUUAGGACCAUUCAUCUAUUGGCUGGCUUUAGGACCAUUCAUCUAUUGGCUGGCUUUAGAACCAUUCAUCUAUUGGCUGGCUUUAGGACCAUUCAUCUAUUGGCUGGCUUUAGAACCAUUCAUCUAUUGGCUGGCUUUAGAACCAUUCAUCUAUUGGCUGGCUUUAGGACCAUUCAUCUAUUGGCUGGCUUUAGGACCAUUCAUCUAUUGGCUGGCUUUAGAACCAUUCAUCUAUUGGCUGGCUUUAGGACCAUUCAUCUAUUGGCUGGCUUUAGGUCCAUUCAUCUAUUGGCUGGCUUUAGGACCAUUCAUCUAUUGGCUGGCUUUAGGACCAUUCAUCUAUUGGCUGGCUUUAGGACCAUUCAUCUAUUGGCUGGCUUUAGAACCAUUCAUCUAUUGGCUGGCUUUAGGACCAUUCAUCUAUUGGUUGGCUUUAGGACCAUUCAGAGCAUCGUUUGGAGAGAAGCUGCCAGCCUGCCUGCAUUUCUCUCAGCAGAGAGCAGAGAGCAGAGAGCAGAGACUAUGAGAGAAUCUGAGAGAAUCUCAAUUGCAUUCUCCUCGCGUCCUUUCCUCGCCUCCUCAAAACCCAUUGGAUGA
rnacentral:lncRNA from 1 species